GAGAGAGAGAGAGAAAACACUAUGACUUUCAAAUCUGCGGGAAGUCCAUUCCAGUCAUGGGUUGCUCUAAAAGCAAAAGCUAAUAGACCAAAAGCAUUCUUUCUUAAUGGUAUUUUACAAUUAACCCUAGCACCAGCCCUUGUUACUUUUCCUGUAAUUGUAUUAAUGAACUGUUUAAAUAUGGUUGGGGCAAGACCAUUAAGAAUUUAAAAAAUGAACAUUACACCUAAACAUUACACCUCAAACUGUGAAUACAUCAAACAGAGAGUGUUGGAGGUUAUGCUCUGGCGACAAGAUAGUAGUUGUAGGGGUAUAGUGAAGCUGUGGAGUGAAAAGUGAAGCUUGUACACUCACAGGUGGAAAGAGUGGUGAGGUCAAGAGAGGUUUGACCUGUGACUGGCUUCUCUCACUCUGACAGCUGGAUGUAGAGAGAGAGAGAGAGAGAGAGAGAGAGCGAGAGAGAGAGAGGCUGGGUCAGAAUUUAGCCUCUGCUGAGAGGUCCAAUGCAAGGAUCUGAUACAUGACUCUGAGUGGAUUCUGAACUGGAGGCUGAGGGUAAGUGUAAGGUAUUGUUCAUGAGGACUCAAAUGGAAACCUUUCCCCUCAGAAAGUGUGAAAGUGUAGAGAGAGAGAAAAAAAAAACGGGAUUUGUUAAGGGGAUAAUGAAUGUCUGUUUCCAGUGUCUUUGUUCACCAUGGCUUCUCUAUAGGUGCUGAUGCAAGUACUUUUCUCAGAAUAAGUAUUAUGUAAAGAAGCUUGUACUGGAAUCUUCAACUGGUUGCUCCAGACACUUUUUCUUAUCAGCAGGAUGCAGAAGAAUGUAGAAACCAGGACGAGGAAUGUUAGUACAUGGUGGAGAACUAUAAAGACAGAAAUGUACGAGGUGUAGGUGGUCCUCAAUGUAUAAGAACUGUUCCAACGGAUUGUCUCUCCUCUGUUCCUACUCCAGCUUGAUUCUGUUAAAAUCUCAAAUGCUUGCUCUCUUGUCUGUCAGGAUGCAGGAAGAAUGUUUUUCUAAAUAUUUGCCAGCAGAGGGUGAAAAAUCUUCCGUUUGCACAGAACAGCCAUCUCAUUACAGUGCAUUAUUGCUUUGAAUUAAUACAAAUUUGUGCCUUUUUGCCUAUUCCAGGAGUGAUUUUAAAGCUAAAUCUACCACAUGUCAUAAAUGUCAAACCCAUGUUUUCAUCUGUGUUUUAGAAAUAUUAAUAUGAAAUGUUAUGACGUAAAAUAAAUAAAUAUUUAAGACUG